rnacentral:rRNA from 1 species
UACGUAGGGUGCGAGCGUUAAUCGGAAUUACUGGGCGUAAAGUGUGCGCAGGCGGCAGAGCAAGUCGAGUGUGAAAGCCCCGGGCUUAACUUGGGAAUUGCGCUCGAAACUACUUUGCUGGAGUGUGGCAGAGGAAGGUGGAACUCCACGUGUAGCGGUGAAAUGCGUAGAGAUGUGGAGGAACACCAAUGGCGAAGGCAGCCUUCUGGGCCAACACUGACGCUCAUGCACGAAAGCGUGGGGAGCAAACAGG